CAGAGAGAUCGCACUUGAACAUGAAGCGGCUGAAUCGUCUGCACGUUGGUCUUGCGCCAGUAAAGUACGAGAGCGACAAUAGUCUUUGUACACAGAGAGUGCAGUGAGCGCGCAUCGAUGGGAACAGGGAGUGAAGUUGCAAGUGCGGAUACUUUCAUUUGCUUCUCCAGCGAUUCCGCUAUCUCUGCCCGAGCGCGGCGCAACAAUUGCUCCAAACACAGGGUCGGAGAGUAGAUCGGAGCAGAUGCAGACGACUGCAAGUGUAUCUGAGAUUAAUUGGAUGGAUGAAUUCUUAAAAGCAGAUGAGAAAUUGAAGAUGACUACUGGAUCACGAUGAGUCGCCCAUCCACCAGGAUUUAUGAUCUGUUAUUGCCCUCGAUAGAAAUGUCACUCUGUGGUGAAUGAAGCCUGCAACUAUAACUGCUGUGAUCUUGUGAAACUACAGCUCUCAACUGUACCUUGUGGUUAGAGACCGCAAUUAAGACUGCUCUAACAGUGUGGAAUUACAACUACCAGCACCUCUAUGUAUUCUGUGACGAUUGGAGAAUGCAAAUAUUGCAGCUGUGCUUGUGUUGGACUACGACCCUCAGCUACAUUGUAAGUACAAUUUGAAUUGCGUUGUCUAAAUUCAACAUGUAUCACGGAAAUGGAGAAAUUAUAAACAUUGCAAUGAGUGC